rnacentral:rRNA from 1 species
ACGGGAGGCAGCAGUGGGGAAUAUUGCGCAAUGGAGGAAACUCUGACGCAGUGACGCCGCGUAUAGGAAGAAGGUUUUCGGAUUGUAAACUAUUGUCAUUAGGGAAGAAAAAAGACUGUACCUAAGGAGGAAGCCCCGGCUAACUAUGUGCCAGCAGCCGCGGUAAUACAUAGGGGGCAAGCGUUAUCCGGAAUUAUUGGGUGUAAAGGGUGCGUAGACGGGAAUAUAAGUUAGUUGUGAAAUCCCUCGGCUCAACUGAGGAACUGCAACUAAAACUGUAUUUCUUGAGUAUCGGAGAGGAAAGCAGAAUUCCUAGUGUAGCGGUGAAAUGCGUAGAUAUUAGGAGGAAUACCAGUGGCGAAGGCGGCUUUCUGGACGAAAACUGACGUUGAGGCACGAAAGUGUGGGGAGCAAACAGGAUUAGAUACCCUGGUA